GAGGAGAGGGAAAAAAAUGGUACAUUGGCAGCAAAUCAGUUUUCUAUUUUGCCACAAUGAACAAGAAAAUGUGAAGAUUGGAUCUUACAGCAUUAUUCAAUGCAGGAAAAAAAAUUAUCCUUUUUUUGAUGGUGCAGUCUAAAUCCAUUUCUCAGACCAUUUCCAAUAUUUCUUGAAAAACUGCUGGGAAGGCUUCAGGAAAGACAGGAAGAGACGUGUGAAGAAAAAAAGCACUGGAGGUACAACUAGAAAUGAGG